rnacentral:rRNA from 1 species
AGUUUCGAAUCAUUCACAAUGGGCGAAAGCCUGAUGGUGCGACGCCGCGUGAGGGAUGAAGGUCUUCGGAUUGUAAACCUCUGUCACCGGGGAAGAAACACUUUGAGUUAAUAGUUCAAAGCCUGACUUAACCCGGAGAGGAAGCAGUGGCUAACUCUGUGCCAGCAGCCGCGGUAAUACAGAGACUGCAAGCGUUAUUCGGAUUCACUGGGCGUAAAGGGUGCGCAGGCGGCCGGGUGUGUCAGAUGUGAAAUCCCGAGGCUCAACCUCGGAACUGCGUCUGAAACUACUCGGCUAGAGUACUGGAGAGGGUAACGGAAUUCACGGUGUAGCAGUGAAAUGCGUAGAUAUCGUGAGGAACACCAGAGGCGAAGGCGGUUACCUGGACAGUUACUGACGCUCAGGCACGAAAGCAUGGGGAGCAAAAGGGAUUAGAUACCCCUGUAGUCCAUGCCCUAAACGGUGCACACUAGGUCUUGGCGGAUUCGACCCCACCAGGGCCCAAGCUAACGCGUUAAGUGUGCCGCCUGAGGACUACGGUC